rnacentral:rRNA from 1 species
AGGAUAAACGCUGGCGGCGUGCCUAACACAUGCAAGUCGAACGCGCUUUCGGGCUUCGGUGCGAGAGCGAGUGGCGGACGGGUGAGUAACACAUGGGUACCUACCUUGGAGUGAGGGAUACCGGCGAGAAAUCGCCGACAAUACCGCAUAGGCUUCUUCACAAGGGAAGCAAAGUGACGCGAGUCACGCUUUGAGAUGGGCCUGUGGCCGAUUAGCUAGUUGGGGGGGUAACGGCUUCCCAAGGCGACGAUCGGUAGCUGGUCUGAGAGGACGAUCAGCCACACUGGGAUUGAGAACGGCCCAGACUCCUACGGGGGGCAGCAGUGAGGAAUUUUCCGCAAUGGAGGCAACUCUGACGGAGCAACGCCGCGUGCAGGAGGAAGGUUUUCGGAUCGUAAACUGCUUUUCUCGGGACGAGCAAGGACGGUACCCGAGGAGAAGCCCCGGCUAACUACGUGCCAGCAGCCGC